GACGAACGCUGGCGGCGUGCCUAAUACAUGCAAGUUGAGCGCUGAAGGUUGGUACUUGUACCGACUGGAUGAGCAGCGAACGGGUGAGUAACGCGUGGGGAAUCUGCCUUUGAGCGGGGGACAACAUUUGGAAACGAAUGCUAAUACCGCAUAAAAACUUUAAACACAAGUUUUAAGUUUGAAAGAUGCAAUUGCAUCACUCAAAGAUGAUCCCGCGUUGUAUUAGCUAGUUGGUGAGGUAAAGGCUCACCAAGGCGAUGAUACAUAGCCGACCUGAGAGGGUGGUGGGGGAGGGUGGGGGGGAGACACGGGGCGGGGGGGGGCGGGGGGGGGCGGGAGGGGGGCGGGGGGAAUGGACGAAAGUCUGACCGAGCAACGCCGCGGGAGUGAAGAAGGUUGUCGGAUCGUAAAACUCUGUUGGUAGAGAAGAACGUUGGUGAGAGUGGAAAGCUCAUCAAGUGACGGUAACUACCCAGAAAGGGACGGCUAACUACGUG
rnacentral:rRNA from 1 species